UACGAAGGGGGCUAGCGUUGCUCGGAAUGACUGGGCGUAAAGGGCGCGUAGGCGGAUGGCACAGUCAGAUGUGAAAUUCCCGGGCUUAACCUGGGGGCUGCAUUUGAUACGUGUUGUCUUGAGUUCGGAAGAGGGUCGUGGAAUUCCCAGUGUAGAGGUGAAAUUCGUAGAUAUUGGGAAGAACACCGGUGGCGAAGGCGGCGACCUGGUCCUUGACUGACGCUGAGGCGCGAAAGCGUGGGGAGCAAACAGG
rnacentral:rRNA from 1 species